CAGCAGCCGCGGUAAUACGAAGGGUGCAAGCGUUAAUCGGAAUUACUGGGCGUAAAGCGUGCGUAGGCGGUGAGUUAAGUCUGCUGUGAAAUCCCCGGGCUCAACCUGGGAAUGGCAGUGGAUACUGGCUCGCUAGAGUGUGUCAGAGGAUGGUGGAAUUCCCGGUGUAGCGGUGAAAUGCGCAGAGAUCGGGAGGAACAUCAGUGGCGAAGGCGGCCAUCUGGGACAACACUGACGCUGAGGCACGAAAGCGUGGGGAGCAAACAGGAUUAGAUACCCCAGUAGUCCCUGUCUCUUAUAC
rnacentral:rRNA from 1 species